rnacentral:rRNA from 1 species
AGAGUUUGAUCAUGGCUCAGGAUGAACGCUAGCGGCAGGCUUAAUACAUGCAAGUCGUGGGGCAGCAUGGUGUAGCAAUACACUGAUGGCGACCGGCAAACGGGUGCGGAACACGUACGCAACCUUCCUUUAACUGGAGAAUAGCCCGGGGAAACCCGGAUUAAUACUCCGUAACAUUAUGAAGUGGCAUCACUUUAUAAUUAUAGCUCCGGCGGUUAAAGAUGGGCGUGCGCCUGAUUAGGUAGUUGGCGGGGUAACGGCCCACCAAGCCUACGAUCAGUAACUGGUGUGAGAGCACGACCAGUCACACGGGCACUGAGACACGGGCCCGACUCCUACGGGAGGCAGCAGUAAGGAAUAUUGGUCAAUGGACGCAAGUCUGAACCAGCCAUGCCGCGUGGAGGAUGAAGGUCCUCUGGAUUGUAAACUUCUUUUAUUUGGGAAGAAACCCCCGAUUUCUAUUGGGGUUGACGGUACCAGAUGAAUAAGCACCGGCUAACUCCGUGCCAGCAGCCGCGGUAAUACGGAGGGUGCAAGCGUUAUCCGGAUUCACUGGGUUUAAAGGGUGCGUAGGCGGGUUGGUAAGUCCGUGGUGAAAUCUCCAAGCUUAACUUGGAAACUGCCGUGGAUACUAUCAAUCUUGAAUUUAGUGGAGGUGAGCGGAAUAUGUCAUGUAGCGGUGAAAUGCUUAGAUAUGACAUAGAACACCCAUUGCGAAGGCAGCUCGCUACACUAUUAUUGACGCUGAGGCACGAAAGCGUGGGGAUCAAACAGGAUUAGAUACCCCCGUAGUCC